GCCCUGGUGGCACAAUUGGUCAGCGCGGUAAGUCCGGCCAUCUCAAGGUUGAGAGUUCGAGCCUCUCCCAGGGCG
rnacentral:tRNA from 1 species